UACGUAGGGUGCAAGCGUUAAUCGGAAUUACUGGGCGUAAAGCGCACGUAGGCGGCUUUGUAAGUUAGAGGUGAAAGCCUGGAGCUCAACUCCAGAAUUGCCUUUGAUACUGCAUGGCUUGAAUCCAGGAGAGGUGAGUGGAAUUCCGAGUGUAGAGGUGAAAUUCGUAGAUAUUCGGAAGAACACCAGUGGCGAAGGCGGCUCACUGGACUGGUAUUGACGCUGAGGUGCGAAAGCGUGGGGAGCAAACAGG
rnacentral:rRNA from 1 species